CUACGUGCCAGCAGCCGCGGUAAUACGGAAGGUCCAGGCGUUAUCCGGAUUUAUUGGGUUUAAAGGGAGCGUAGGCUGGAGAUUAAGUGUGUUGUGAAAUGUAGACGCUCAACGUCUGAAUUGCAGCGCAUACUGGUUUCCUUGAGUACGCACAACGUUGGCGGAAUUCGUCGUGUAGCGGUGAAAUGCUUAGAUAUGACGAAGAACUCCGAUUGCGAAGGCAGCUGACGGGAGCGCAACUGACGCUUAAGCUCGAAGGUGCGGGUAUCAAACAGGAUUAGAUACCCUGGUAGUCCGCACAGUAAACGAUGGAUGCCCGCUGUUGGUACCUGGUAUCAGCGGCUAAGCGAAAGCAUUAAGCAUCCCACCUGGGGAGUACGCCGGCAACGGUGAAACUCAAAGGAAUUGACGGGGGCCCGCACAAGCGGUGGAGUAUGUGGUUUAAUUCGACGCAACGCGAAGAACCUUACCAGGUCUUGACAUUGAUGGACAGAACUAGAGAUAG
rnacentral:rRNA from 1 species